AUUGAACGCUGGCGGCAGGCUUAACACAUGCAAGUCGAGCGAGCGGCGGACGGGUGAGUAAUGUCUGGGAAACUGCCUGAUGGAGGGGGAUAACUACUGGAAACGGUAGCUAAUACCGCAUACCAUCAGAUGUGCCCAGAUGGGCUUAGCUAGUAGGUGGGGUAAUGGCUCACCUAGGCGACGAGCCCUAGCUGGUCUGAGAGGAUGACCAGCCAAACGGGAACUGAGACACGGUCCAGACUCCGACGGGAGGCAGGAGUGGGGAAUAUUGCACAAUGGGCGCAAGGCUGGUGCAGCCAUGCCGCGUGUGUGAAGAAGGCCUUGGGGUUGUAAAGCACUUUCAGCGAGGAGGCGUUACUCGAAGAAGAAGCACCGGCUAACUCCGUGCCAGCAGCCGCGGUAAUUC
rnacentral:rRNA from 1 species